rnacentral:rRNA from 1 species
GACAGAGGGUGCAAACGUUGUUCGGAAUUACUGGGCGUAAAGCGCGUGUAGGUGGCGAGGCAAGUCGGGUGUGAAAGCCCUGGGCUCAACCCAGGAAGUGCACUCGAUACUGCCUAGCUAGAGUCCCGGAGAGGUUGGUGGAACUCUCGGUGUAGAGGUGAAAUUCGUAGAUAUCGAAAAGAACACCGGUGGCGAAGGCGGCCAACUGGACGGUGACUGACACUGAGACGCGAAAGCGUGGGGAGCAAACAGG